rnacentral:rRNA from 1 species
UACAGAGGUCGCAAGCGUUAUCCGGAUUCACUGGGUUUAAAGGGUGCGUAGGUGGGCAGGUAAGUCAGUGGUGAAAUCUCUGGGCUUAACCCGGAAACUGCCGUUGAUACUAUCUGUCUUGAAUAUAGUGGAGGUGAGCGGAAUAUGUCAUGUAGCGGUGAAAUGCUUAGAUAUGACAUAGAACAUCGAUUGCGAAGGCAGCUCGCUACGCUAUUAUUGACACUGAGGCACGAAAGCGUGGGGAUCAAACAGG